GCAGAGGGGACAGUCUUUGGCCCAGGUAAAAUAAAAACCUGGCAUCCCCUUCCACCCAAGUGGACUAUUCUCUCCUUAUGGAGUCUAAGAAAAGAGAGAUAUCCUUGCGUAAGGCGAAAGAUCGAUGUCCUUCAGAAUUCUAAAAAGAUCAAGAAUUGCGUGCCUUUAGAUCCCAUCUUUCUUGAUUAUGAAUCAAGACGAAAGGUCGGAUGUACUUGUUUAGGCCAGGUCUACUUUUGGCCAUUCUUCUCUAUGAAAAAUAGAAUAUUGCUCAAAGAAGGUGACUCGUAGUCCCUUUUCAAGUGUUAUCUUCACUAUGGAUGAUCCAGUUGGUGUGCGUAUGAAAGAACGGAUUCCCCCUAUUUAUGGGAUAUAUGCCUUGCUUCUCCUCCAUACCCCUUUCAGCAAGGGUUGACGUGUUCUCCAAGAAUCUUCUUCCGACCUCUGAGGUGGUCCGUCAAGUCCUCUAGCCUAGGGUAGUCAAAAUAAAGGCAGGAUUCUCUCGUCUUUUAUUUCCCUUUUUUCUGAGAGAGAUGUCGUCCUUCCAGUUCCUGAUGAAUUGAGUCCGCCAUCUAUUUCAUAGUAAUCACGAAAAGCAAGCCCUAUGUGUCACAAGCAGGCACCAUAGGUUCUUUACUUUUUGGUGGGGUGGAGGGCUUUUGUGCAUUAUAGCACAGGCCGUGACUACCUUUUUACCUUGAUUGAUGCUGCAUAUCGCCCGCUUGUUCUAUAGAAAACUAAGUGCCUAUCAAUUAGUUCCAAGAAAGCGGUCGGGGUCUAACUAGAAUUUCAUUCCAAUCUCGAUAUUAUU
rnacentral:lncRNA from 1 species